rnacentral:antisense_RNA from 10 species
UGUUAUGGCGGUUCGGGCGAGGGCCUCGAAAGGGGCGCUGGGUUCCGUAGUGACCAGUUACGCCAACCUUGUCCGGGCUGCCACCAGU